rfam:Caenorhabditis brenneri strain PB2801 C_brenneri-6.0.1_Cont152.9, whole genome shotgun sequence.
GCUCAGAUGGCCGAGCGGUAAAGGCGUUGGACUUAUAAUUCAAUCCCGCUUAGGCGGGUCGUAGGUUCGAAUCCUGCUCUGAGCG